rnacentral:tRNA from 1 species
CGGAAAGUAGCGCAGCCUGGUAGCGUACCUGCUUUGGGAGCAGGGGGUCGCGAGUUCGAAUCUCGCCUUUCCGA